rnacentral:rRNA from 1 species
UACAGAGGUCUCAAGCGUUGUUCGGAUUCAUUGGGCGUAAAGGGUGCGUAGGUGGCGCUGUAAGUCGGGUGUGAAAUUUCGGAGCUUAACUCCGAAACUGCAUUCGAUACUGCGGUGCUUGAGGACUGGAGAGGAGACUGGAAUUCAUGGUGUAGCAGUGAAAUGCGUAGAGAUCAGGAGGAAGACCAGUGGCGAAGGCGGGGCUCUGGACAGUUCCUGACACUGAGGCACGAAGGCCAGGGGAGCAAACGGG